AACGAACGCUGGCGGCAUGCCUAACACAUGCAAGUCGAACGAGACCUUCGGGUCUAGUGGCGCACGGGUGCGUAACGCGUGGGAACCUGCCCUUAGGUUCGGAAUAACUCCCCGAAAGGGGUGCUAAUACCGGAUAAUGUCUUCGGACCAAAGAUUUAUCGCCUUUGGAUGGGCCCGCGUUGGAUUAGCUAGUUGGUAGGGUAAAAGCCUACCAAGGCGACGAUCCAUAGCUGGUCUGAGAGGAUGAUCAGCCACACUGGGACUGAGACACGGCCCAGACGAGUAGGGGAGGCAGGGGUGGGCAAGAGUGGAAGACGGGAGACAGUCUGAUCCAGCAGUGUGGGGUGCGUUAGGACUGUCUUAGGUGUGUAACGCUCUUUCACGCGGGAUAAUAAUCACGGUACAGGGAGAAUGUGCCCCGGCUCCCCCCGCGCAAGCAGCCGUGUUAACAAGCGGACGAGCCCCCGUCUAAAC
rnacentral:rRNA from 1 species